rnacentral:rRNA from 1 species
UCCGUAGGUGAACCUGCGGAAGGAUCAUUAGUGAACAUAGGACGUCCAACUUAACUUGGAGUCCGAACUCUCACUUUCUAACCCUGUGCAUUUGUUUGGGGUAGUAGCCUCUCGAGGCGAAUCCCUAUUCACUUAUAAACACAAAGUCUAUGAAUGUAUUUAAUUUUAUAACAAAAUAAAACUUUCAACAACGGAUCUCUUGGCUCUCGCAUCGAUGAAGAACGCAGCGAAAUGCGAUAAGUAAUGUGAAUUGCAGAAUUCAGUGAAUCAUCGAAUCUUUGAACGCACCUUGCGCUCCAUGGUAUUCCGUGGAGCAUGCCUGUUUGAGUGUCAUGAAUACUUCAACCCUCCUCUUUCUUUAUGAUCGAAGAGGUGUUUGGAUUCUGAGCGUUUUGCUGGCCUCACGGUCGAGCUCGCUCGUAAUGCAUUAGCAUCCGCAAUCGAACUUCGGAUUGACUUGGCGUAAUAGACUAUUCGCUGAGGAAUUCUAGUCUUCGGACCAGAGCCGGGUUGGAUUAAAGGAAGCUCCUAAUCCUAAUGUCUAUUUUUAAGAUUAGAUCUCAAAUCAGGUAGGACUACCCGCUGAACUUAAGCAUAUCAAUAAGCGGAGGAAGG